GUCGAACGCUGGCGGCGUGCCUAACACAUGCAAGUCGAACGGAAAGGCCCGUUCGGGGGUACUCGAGUGGCGAACGGGGGAGGAACACGUGAGUAAGCUGCCCACAACUUUGGGACAACGCUAGGAAACUGGAACCAAUACUGGAUAUGUACUCUUUCUUCAUGGUGGGGGUUGGAUAGUUCCGGCGGUUGUGGAUGGACCUGCGGCCUAUCAGCUUGUCGGUGUGGUAGUGGCCUACCGAGGCGGCUACGGGUAGCCGGGCUGGGAGGGUGACCGGCCACAUUGGGACUGAGAUACGGCCCCGGCUCCUACGCGAGGCAGCGGUGGGAAAUAUUGCACGAUGGGCGCCGGCCUGAUGCAGAAGCGCCGCGGGCGGGAUAACGGCCUUCGGGUUGUAAACCGAUUUCAGCAGGGACGAAGCUUUUUGUGACGGUACCUGCAGAAGAAGCACCGGCUAACUACGUG
rnacentral:rRNA from 1 species